rnacentral:miRNA from 1 species
CUUCUCUAACCGAUACUGCAUG